rnacentral:rRNA from 1 species
CACGAACGCUGGCGGCAGGCUUAACACAUGCAAGUCGAGCGCCCCGCAAGGGGAGCGGCAGACGGGUGAGUAACGCGUGGGAAUCUACCCAUCUCUACGGAAUAACGCAUGGAAACGUGUGCUAAUACCGUAUACGUCCUUCGGGAGAAAGAUUUAUCGGAGGUGGAUGAGCCCGCGUUGGAUUAGCUAGUUGGUGGGGUAAAGGUCUACUAAGGCGACGAUCCAUAGCUGGUCUGAGAGGAUGAUCAGCCACACUGGGACGGAGACACGGCCCAGACUCCUGCGGAAGGCAGCAGUGGGGAAGAUUGGACAAUGGGCGCAAGCUUAAUCCAGCCAUGCCGCGUGAGUGAUGAAGGCCCUAGGGUUGUAAAGCUCUUUCACCGGUGAAGAUAAUGACGGUAACCGGAGAAGAAGCCCCGGCUAACUUCGUGCCAGCCGCCGCCGUAACAC